rnacentral:lncRNA from 1 species
AAGCAGCCGCAGCAGGAGUAGCCGAAACUGUCGCAGUCACGCCCGCCUUCUUCGGCGCGUGCAAGCCCUCCAGCACCACCUUCACCUUGCCGUACACAUCGUCCGGAGCCGCCACAGCGCUGAUCACGUGGCACUUGCCCUGCGUAAGGUAGUGGUCCUUCACAGGCAGCGACUGAUCCAGGAAGGUGCGGAAGCGCUUGCGAAUGGUGUCGGCGUUGUCGUCGCUGCGGCCGCUGGUCUCCCCGCGCUUCAGCAGGCGCUUCUCCAUCUCCUCCUCCGGGCAGUCGAAGAACAGCACCGUCUUGCACGGCAUGAUGCUGCUCUCAAACUGCGCCGCCUGGUCCAGCGCGCGCGGAAAGCCGUCGAUGAGGAAGAACUUGCCGCCGCUGGCUAUCAUGUCCCGCUUCAGCAGGUUAAGCGUGACAGCCACCGGCACGAGCUUGCCCUCCUUCAUCAGCGCCUCGCACUUCUGGCCGACCUCGCUGCCGCUCUUCACCUCAGCGCGCAGCAGGUCGCCGGCGCUGAGGUGCACGCACUCGUAGUCGGCCUUAAUCUUGUCGCAUUGCGUCCCCUUGCCGCUGCCGGGGCCGCCGAGCACGAACACGAUCUGGGCGUCGGCAGGCAGGUUGCCGGGCACAGGUGGCAGCGCGAUGUCCUGCAUAAAAGCAACCAAGGGAACAAACGUGCAAUCAUAAGGUGUUGGCUGUGGCGCCGACCAUGACCCAGUGCCCUUGUACACAAAGCAAUGGGGCGUGCCGUACGCGCCGCACACACAGAACAGCGGUUUGGUGGCUGGAAACAUAAGAUGCGGCACGGUAUCCCUAUCUGCAGGUCGGCUUCUCAAGUGUUCAACUUAGGCAAGACGCACCUCCGAAGCAGCCGGGGCCGCUGCAAGUGCCGUCGCCGCUGCGCUCGCCUUCUUCGGCGCGUGCAAGCCCUCCAGCACCACCUUCACCUUGCCGUACACAUCGUCCGGAGCCGCCACAGCGCUGAUCACGUGGCACUUGCCCUGCGUAAGGUAGUGGUCCUUCACGGGCAGCGACUGAUCCAGGAAGGUGUGGAAGCGCUUGCGAAUGGUGUCGGCGUUGUCGUCGCUGCGGCCGCUGGUCUCCCCGCGCUUCAGCAGGCGCUUCUCCAUCUCCUCCUCCGGGCAGUCAAAGAACAGCACCGUCUUGCACGGCAUGAUGCUGCUCUCAAACUGCUCCGCCUGGUCCAGCGCGCGUGGAAAGCCGUCGAUGAGGAAGAACUUGCCGCCGCUGGCUAUCAUGUCCCGCUUCAGCAGGUUGAGCGUGACAGCCACCGGCACGAGCUUGCCCUCCUUCAUCAGCGCCUCGCACUUCUGGCCAACCUCGCUGCCGCUCUUCACCUCAGCGCGCAGCAGGUCGCCGGCGCUGAGGUGCACGCACUCAUACUCCUCCUUGAUCUGAUCGCAUUGCGUGCCCUUGCCGCUGCCGGGGCCGCCGAGCACGAACACGAUCUGGGCGUCGGCAGGCAGGCUGCCGGGCACGGGCGGCAGCGCAAACUCCUGCAUAGGGACGAAAAUGCAAUGGAAAUCAGCAAGCCGAGAUUAAUAAUCAGUGGAAACUUACGCAUCAGUACACUUGCACUUCAGUACGCAUCCUACUACCGGGAGGAUACGGUAAGGCAGGCAGGCAGAGGCCAUCGAUUUCACGCUUGCCCCAGCUUUCCGUACGAUGUACCGUAUGCUAGGUUGCUUGACCGGAACCCGUGCAAGACGCACACGGAUAUACCACCGGUGAACAGCCAUGACCGCUCACCUCCAAAGCAGCCGCAGCAGGAGUAGCCGAAACUGUCGCAGUCACGCCCGCCUUCUUCGGCGCGUGCAAGCCCUCCAGCACCACCUUCACCUUGCCGUACACAUCGUCCGGAGCCGCCACAGCGCUGAUCACGUGGCACUUGCCCUGCGUAAGGUAGUGGUCCUUCACAGGCAGCGACUGAUCCAGGAAGGUGCGGAAGCGCUUGCGAAUGGUGUCGGCGUUGUCGUCGCUGCGGCCGCUGGUCUCCCCGCGCUUCAGCAGGCGCUUCUCCAUCUCCUCCUCCGGGCAGUCGAAGAACAGCACCGUCUUGCACGGCAUGAUGCUGCUCUCAAACUGCGCCGCCUGGUCCAGCGCGCGCGGAAAGCCGUCGAUGAGGAAGAACUUGCCGCCGCUGGCUAUCAUGUCCCGCUUCAGCAGGUUAAGCGUGACAGCCACCGGCACGAGCUUGCCCUCCUUCAUCAGCGCCUCGCACUUCUGGCCGACCUCGCUGCCGCUCUUCACCUCAGCGCGCAGCAGGUCGCCGGCGCUGAGGUGCACGCACUCGUAGUCGGCCUUAAUCUUGUCGCAUUGCGUCCCCUUGCCGCUGCCGGGGCCGCCGAGCACGAACACGAUCUGGGCGUCGGCAGGCAGGUUGCCGGGCACAGGUGGCAGCGCGAUGUCCUGCAUAAAAGCAACCAAGGGAACAAACGUGCAAUCAUAAGGUGUUGGCUGUGGCGCCGACCAUGACCCAGUGCCCUUGUACACAAAGCAAUGGGGCGUGCCGUACGCGCCGCACACACAGAACAGCGGUUUGGUGGCUGGAAACAUAAGAUGCGGCACGGUAUCCCUAUCUGCAGGUCGGCUUCUCAAGUGUUCAACUUAGGCAAGACGCACCUCCGAAGCAGCCGGGGCCGCUGCAAGUGCCGUCGCCGCUGCGCUCGCCUUCUUCGGCGCGUGCAAGCCCUCCAGCACCACCUUCACCUUGCCGUACACAUCGUCCGGAGCCGCCACAGCGCUGAUCACGUGGCACUUGCCCUGCGUAAGGUAGUGGUCCUUCACGGGCAGCGACUGAUCCAGGAAGGUGUGGAAGCGCUUGCGAAUGGUGUCGGCGUUGUCGUCGCUGCGGCCGCUGGUCUCCCCGCGCUUCAGCAGGCGCUUCUCCAUCUCCUCCUCCGGGCAGUCAAAGAACAGCACCGUCUUGCACGGCAUGAUGCUGUUCUCAAACUGCGCCGCCUGGUCCAGCGCGCGCGGAAAGCCGUCGAUGAGGAAGAACUUGCCGCCGCUGGCUAUCAUGUCCCGCUUCAGCAG